GUGCUCACUUUGGCACCACAUAUACUAAAACUGGAAAGAUACAGAGAAGAUUAGCAUGGUCCCUGCACAUGGAUGGCCCACAAAUUUGUGAAGCAUUCCAUAUAUUU
ensembl:snRNA U6 U6 spliceosomal RNA